CACUGCAUUGUUGUAGUGGCCACUGAAUCGGGAUUAUAUCUGUCAGUUUGGGUAUAAAUUAUGUCUCUGAUUGCGUCAAGGUUUAAUGCUGGUAAGGGAUCCGACGUGAAACCCUUCUAGGGGGCCAGAAAUCUUGACAGAAUGGCUUAUCAGGUCUGUAAUAAUGUUGUUCUUGUUCAUUUUCAUGUGUUUUCUAGGGUUAUUCUUUUUCGAUUUGUGACUAAGUUUGUUUGAUUGAUGUCUGCAUUGUGCGUUUUGCUUUAUUUUUGGUUCUAAUUGCAAAGUGGUUUGAACGGGCAUGGAAAUCUUCUAGAGAAACUAAUAUGGAAACCAACCAAAUUUGAGAGCUUUGGUACUUUAAAAAAUUUUAGAUAUUAUUUUAAUUGAGUUUGCAGAUUUUGAAUUGGGGAUUUAAAUUUUGGGUUGAGAAAAAGUUCAUGGUCAGUGAUGUGAAUGAAUUGAGACGCAUGCAUCUUCUAAACUAGUUUUUUGUCAGUUCCCUCACAGAUAAUAGGAAGCCGCAGCUUGAAGAAAGUUCUUGAUGCUGUGAUUUCCAAGUACAAGUAUUUUUGUUAAAGAUACUCUAUCAAGAGCGAAUCAAGAAGAGUAGUACAUGGUGGGGAGAUGAGUUCAGCCUUGGCAACAGCGGGAUCAAUGUAUAUGAUUGAAGGUGAGACUGAGAAUUUGACCAAGAGUGCAAAGACAUGGUGAGAAAUGACCAACAAAUUCGACGACUCUAACACGAUUCCUUAUGGUUAUUGAGAUUAGUUUAUUUCAUUUUCGAAAAUUUUUUAAUUUCAAAAUGUAGCAGUCCAUUUGAUUAGGUAGCAAGAAAUAGUAGCUUGGUCUUCGUUUCCAAUAUUCUAAUGUUUUUGAUUGUUAGAUUAGAGUUGCCUUGCAGAGGGCAUUACGAUUAUUUUCAUACUUCCUGGAGCUUUCAAUAUUCAUCACGAAUUAAAUGGGAUGUAAUCUGAAGUUAGACAGUGUGCGUACAAAUCAAUAAUUCAAAAGAUUUGAUGGAUUAGAAGGCAUAUAUGGACCCAGCUGCAACAAAUUUGUUGGUUGGCAAAAUUAUUGGCAUUCUUGAGAACGAAGCAUCCUUCACUGCCGGGAUUCAUGACCAAGUUGAUGAGAUUAAGCUGGAUCUGGACAAAAGGCACAGGUGGAAGGCGAGUACACACAUACAUGUAGUGGGAAGUUAGACCCCUUUUUGGCAUGUAAUUCAAUAAUUGUUCUUGGAGUGGAUUUGGAAAAGGUGGCAAAAAUAGCAACAACAUCAUCUGCUUUGAAAGAGGAAAGACUCAAGCUGCAUUUCAAAAUAGCAGUAAGAAUAGCCUCUUUUUUGACAGGGGACAUAUCUCUAGCACUUCCCAGCUUUGUGCUCAAUACAACAGCAGAGGAAUAUCAAUUGCCCAGAACUAGACAUAAUUAAAGCCAGAAGUAUACUGCAUGACUGCAUGCAAGAAGAUAAAGAAUAUUGAGAAUCAUGGGCAGGGAAAAAGUCUGGUGUCCUAUUGGUUACUUAUCAGCAAUGCCUCUAGACUUUGCCUUCUUCACAAGAGUUCCAAUGAGUAUCUAUCAUAGUUAUAUAUUUGUUUGCAUUGCUUAAAUAGUUAAGAGUUUUGCACAGAUGGGUUCUUUUAUUAUUCUAGAAUCUAUUUUUUUGUAUUUCACAAUUUUUAUGAGUAUUCAUUACAAUUUACAUAUGUUCAAUUGUCCAGAAUACCAAUAUUAAAAGGCCUAGAAAGGCUUUUAUUUGUAGAUUUAUAUUUUUUUUUAUGACCAAUGUUUUAGUGGCCU